rnacentral:rRNA from 1 species
UACUUAGUUGGCAAGCGUUGUCCGGAAUUAUUGGGCGUAAAGCGCGCGCAGGCGGUCCUUUAAGUCUGAUGUGAAAGCCCACGGCUCAACCGUGGAGGGUCAUUGGAAACUGGGGGACUUGAGUGCAGAAGAGGAGAGUGGAAUUCCACGUGUAGCGGUGAAAUGCGUAGAGAUGUGGAGGAACACCAGUGGCGAAGGCGACUCUCUGGUCUGUAACUGACGCUGAGGCGCGAAAGCGUGGGGAGCGAACAGGAUGAGAAAACCUAGUAGUCC